UACGGAGGGAGCUAGCGUUGUUCGGAAUUACUGGGCGUAAAGCGCACGUAGGCGGCGAUUCAAGUCAGAGGUGAAAGCCCGGGGCUCAACCCCGGAACUGCCUUUGAAACUAGAUCGCUAGAAUCCUGGAGAGGUUAGUGGAAUUCCGAGUGUAGAGGUGAAAUUCGUAGAUAUUCGGAAGAACACCAGUGGCGAAGGCGACUAACUGGACAGGUAUUGACGCUGAGGUGCGAAAGCGUGGGGAGCAAACAGG
rnacentral:rRNA from 1 species